CACGUAGGGGGCGAGCGUUGUCCGGAAUCAUUGGGCGUAAAGAGCUCGUAGGCGGCUCAGUAAGUCGGGUGUGAAACCCCCAGGCUCAACCUGGGGACGCCACCCGAUACUGCUGUGGCUAGAGUCCAGUAGGGGAGUGUGGAAUUCCCGGUGUAGCGGUGAAAUGCGCAGAUAUCGGGAGGAACACCGGUGGCGAAGGCGGGUCUCUGGGCCGAUACUGACGCUGAGGAGCGAAAGCGUGGGGAGCGAACAG
rnacentral:rRNA from 1 species